CCUUUUACAGUUAGCUUAAAGUUGGAUUUUUUUUUGAAGGUUCAUGGUAUUAGAGUUGAACAGAUUAUGGUUCUUUUCGGAAAUUUUCAUACUAUGCUUUGAGUUUUAUGCGAACAAGUUAUGCUUGUGCUUUAUGUUCUAUACAUGAUAAGGUUAUUUCCCAUAUGAUCAUGUUAUGAUGUUCUAAGUGGAUGAAAAAAAUGAGGUAUAUAGGUGAGUAUGUGCUACCUGAUUCCUUGUGGCUAGUGGAUUGGGAAAAACUCCCGCAUCUAAUGGUCUUUGAGAGGCAUAACGACCUCUACUCACUCGCUUACUCUCGGUUGUGAAUUAUGGGGAGAAAGAAAGAAAUUUUGAAGUGGUGAGUGGUGAAGGGAAACAAAUAUUGAAGGGGAAAACAUAUAUAUAAGUUGUUGCUACAAUUUGUUGAGAUAUAGCAGAAAUCAAAUCAGCAUUUUUGGCUCUUUGUUCACAAUGAUUGGCUAUUUGUGGGGCAGUACACCAGUUGUACUCGUGAAUUAUUAAUGGGCUGAUCCUAUUGUGCAGCGAAUCCCCUAUUUGCAGCUUCUUAGUGUGCUUUGAACUUAAUUUGUUUUGGUGGCAUUUGGAGUACGAGUACUUGGGUAAUAACUCCCUUUUGUUUGAUUGUGCUAGGUAUACAUAGAGUAAUGCAGGAGCUGUUGGGGUGUGGAAGGGAGUGCAGAGCUGACUUUGCUCAUUUAGCAAGACAUAGGUUAUCCAUUUGUGAGGAAUACAGCUGCUGCUCAGUGAGAGGAGCGCUGAUUUCUUUUGCAGAAGAUGCAGCUAGAAGUGGCAUGUAACUUAGUUGCUAUGCCCAUAUGUAUUCAACAAUAUAUUCUAUGUAUGUUUACCUCCUUGUUUAGUAG